UGGGGAAUUUUGGACAAUGGGCGAAAGCCUGAUCCAGCAAUGCCGCGUGUGUGAAGAAGGCCUUCGGGUUGUAAAGCACUUUUGUCCGGAAAGAAAUCCUUGGCUCUAAUACAGUCGGGGGAUGACGGUACCGGAAGAAUAAGCACCGGCUAACUACGUGCCAGCAGCCGCGGUAAUACGUAGGGUGCAAGCGUUAAUCGGAAUUACUGGGCGUAAAGCGUGCGCAGGCGGUUUGCUAAGACCGAUGUGAAAUCCCCGGGCUCAACCUGGGAACUGCAUUGGUGACUGGCAGGCUAGAGUAUGGCAGAGGGGGGUAGAAUUCCACGUGUAGCAGUGAAAUGCGUAGAGAUGUGGAGGAAUACCGAUGGCGAAGGCAGCCCCCUGGGCCAAUACUGACGCUCAUGCACGAAAAGCGUGGGGAGCAAAACAGGAUUAGAUACCCUGGUAGUCCACGCCCUAAACGAUGUCAACUAGUUGUUGGGGGAUUCAUUUCCUUAGUAACGUAGCUAACGCGUGAAGUUGACCGCCUGGGGAGUACGGUCGCAAGAUUAAAACUCAAAUGAAUUGACGGGGUCAUAGCUGUUUCCU
rnacentral:rRNA from 1 species